UACGGAGGAUGCGAGCGUUAUCCGGAUUUAUUGGGUUUAAAGGGUGCGUAGGCGGCCUUGUAAGUCAGCGGUGAAAUUUUGCAGCUUAACUGUAAAAGUGCCGUUGAUACUGUGAGGCUAGGAUUCGGUUGCUGUGGGUGGAAUGUGUGGUGUAGCGGUGAAAUGCUUAGAGAUCACACAGAAUAUCGAUUGCGAAGGCAGCUCACAAAGCCAAGAUUGACGCUGAGGCACGAAAGUGUGGGGAUCAAACAGGAUUA
rnacentral:rRNA from 1 species